rnacentral:lncRNA from 1 species
GUUUGAGAUAAACAAAGAACCAGAGUCCUAGAAGGGAUCCAUUAACAUUAAUAAGUUGCAGAGAAGAGGAAUCAGUGGAGGAGAUUGAAAAGAAGCAACCAUUGAAGUAGCAGGAAAAGAGACUGAGGCGAACUAGGAGCCAAAUGAAGAAAGUAUUUUAAGGAAGAGAGAAUGGUCACUGCUACUGAUUAUCAAACAAUAUGAGGACUCAGAACUCAUCAUUGGGUUUAGCAGUCUUGAGGUCAUUGCUGACCUGACAAGAAGAGAUUUCAUGAAUUGUAAUGAAAGCUUGACUGGAAUGGGUUUAAGAGAGAGUAGGAAGACACUAAUGGCAGCUCCUUUGAAGAGUUUUACUGCAAAGUCUAUUACAGAUGUGUGGUUAACAGAAGUUAAGAAUGGAGGAAGGCAAGACGAUGAGUGGAAAGUGAAAGUGGCUUUCAAAGAACAAGCCAGGAGUCCUUGUGGUGAUGGAGAUGUUCUGUAUCUUGACUCUUCAAUGAUAAUCUCCUCAUUGUGGUAUCACUCUGGAUCUACAGGAUGCAGCCACUGGGAAGAAUAUGGUGGGCAUGGAAGGAAGCAGGAGGUUGCUUCCCAAGUCAACUUCAAAGAGUCUUCUGAGGAGUAUUACUUAUAUGGCAACUGGGCUAUUGUGGGAAUAACAGUUUGUUAACCGAGUUAAGCAAAGGAGUGAUUGAAUCUGCCCUGGCAGAGUUGCAUUCUUGAAGAUAAGGGGCUAUGAUCUGAGACUCACAAAGUCUGAAGCUUUGAUAGUCCAAAGUCCCUGAACUUUGUCACACAGAUGGCUGAACUGCCAUCAGGGAAUUGAAACGAGAUCAUGAUGCAGCAAAUUCUCUGUGCGCCACGAUCCCAGUACUUAUUGAACGGUUUUGUAAACAGUAUAAAUAUUAACUUUGUCUCUUGUGUGGCAAGCCUGAGUUAGGUAAUAGUGCAACAGUAAUGACAGCCUCUGAAAGUGAGAUUUAGUCAGGUAAAUGAGAAAAGGAUUUCAGUUUUGCUAUUUGCUUUUGAUGGGCACGUGGAAAUGUCUGCCUCCAGGAAGUAACAGACAGGCACAUCAGUUCUCUAAAUACAUCCAUUCUCAACCUUAGCUGACUUCAGAAUCACCAAAAUACAGGAAGCUAGGCCCUACCCACAUCAGUUGAAUUUGAAAUUUAUGUGGGGUAGGGGUGGAAGGAUUUCUGGAAUUUUAAAUCCUGACUCAGAAUUGAGGGAGGAUCACUCUUCUCAUGCUACUGCAAAAAGUGUCUGAGACAUAAAUUUAAAUAUACUUAACUCUGAUUGUUAACUCUAUAUGCGUGCUGUUUGUUUACUGUCAUCAACACUGUGAUUAUUCACGGAAAUCCUGCCCCUUCCAUUCUUAGCACUAGUUCCUUAUCUGUAGCUCCCAAUGUUUAUUUCUCGUAAAGUUCCCCCCAAACCACAAUGUAAAUAUGGACAGAAACAGCCUAUAAUCUAUUCUAUGGCACCAGAAACAGUAUCUUUUAGUUACCAUGAAAAUUCUGACUCCUCUUGGAUAAGGGAAAAGGCAUCAUCUCUGCCAAAGUUGGAGGCCAAAUGUGGAGUUCUCAUAGCUCAGUGAGGCUGAAGGGGCUCCAGGAAAAGCGAAUAUAAAGACUCAGAAAAUCAUGGCUAUUAGAGUGGAAGGGACCUUGGUGCCUCAUCAUCUCAUUCAUGGGCAAGGGAAAUGAAAACAGAGAGGUCAGUACUUGUCCAAAAUCAUCACACACAGCCAGUUAGUGGGAUCAUUGGGUUGGGAGCUCAGGUCUCCCACUUCCCCGUCACCGUGGGAGGAGAGAGGAUGGAGUUUUGAGGAAAAGCAGAGUGGGCAUGGGGCAUGUCUCCCUCUUCCAUCAGAGC